rnacentral:rRNA from 1 species
CCUACGGGUGGCAGCAGUGAUGAAUAUUGGUCAAUGGGCGAGAGCCUGAACCAGCCAAGUCGCGUGAGGGAGUACUGCCCUAUGGGUUGUAAACCUCUUUUGUCGGGGAGCAAAAGCCGGACGUGUCCGGCUGUGAGAGUACCCGAAGAAAAAGCAUCGGCUAACUCCGUGCCAGCAGCCGCGGUAAUACGGAGGAUGCGAGCGUUAUCCGGAUUUAUUGGGUUUAAAGGGUGCGCAGGCGGAUUUUUAAGUCAGCGGUAAAAUCGUGGGGCUCAACCCCAUCCAGCCGUUGAAACUGGGGAUCUAGAGUGUGCGAGAGGUAUGCGGAAUGCGUGGUGUAGCGGUGAAAUGCAUAGAUAUCACGCAGAACCCCGAUUGCGAAGGCAGCAUACCGGUGCACAACUGACGCUCAGGCACGAAAGCGUGGGUAUCGAACAGGAUUAGAUACCCUUGUAGUC